rnacentral:lncRNA from 1 species
UCAAGCUCACCCGGUUCAUUUAGCUUGCAAUUGGAUUGGGAAGGGAAGAUAUCGACAACGGGAGGAGAUAGAAACGAUGAGAUCAUCAUGUGGGGAUAAGAGGGAUUGUUGAAGAUGUAGUAAGUGCUAUUUAAGAAAGGGAUGAGACAUGAUACUAAUGCAACGUCGUCACCACAUGGGAGCAUAGCAGCAUGAUCGCUGUAGGACGCAAAGCCCCGGACGUCGUUGGUGGUAGCUAGUGAGCAUAGUACUUGUCGAGAUGGUUGUUGAAGAACGGAUGGAUGC